rnacentral:lncRNA from 1 species
UGAAUACUGACGUGUGUGUGUGUGUGUGUGUGUGUGUGUAUUCAUCCUGUGGCGGUAAUUGUCUCUGUUGUUGCUCGGUUUUGCUGAUUGAGGAAUUGUGUGAAUCUAUUUGUGCUCUUUUUAGCGCUGUCACUCUGUGAUGGUGACAAAAGACCAGUGGGGCACAUUCAGAAAAUGAUCAACAUUAUUAAUCAUAUUCAGUUCAUACUUUGGCUGUACUUUCUGCAAGAAUGGAAUCAAUAUAGGAUGUGUUACAGGAAAUUCCUGUGGAAAUCAGGCAGGAGUAGAGAGGGGCUUGUGCAGUUAGAUGCUCUGCUGUGGGUGCAGGAGAUUCCACGUCUCUCAUUGGUGGAGGCGGAAAGAGGCGAGCAGCAACAGCGGCGACAGCAGCGACACACACCUGUCACUGUCACCGCGGCCAGGAGGGAGACGCCGUCUUUCACGCUCAGUAGACCUGACGUUCUGAGGUUUAAUCCACACCGGGGCUUAAUGAAGUCCCUCGUUCAGCGAGACGUGAAGGCAGGAAGGCUGAGCGCAUGUGGAAAAAGAAUCGGCUGCAGGUGUCUUCAGACAUUCUAAAGGAAAAAACUGAACAUGUACCAGGAAACCAAAAAUUCUUUCUAACAUAUAUCACAAGCCUGGAACUCUUUUCAGUACCAUCGAUGCGGCUCUUAAUGCCACUCAUGACAACUGUCUGGAAGCCUCCCUUGAUACUUGCAAAAUAUUUUUGAACUAUUUGGAACUAAUAGUGGACAAAGCUAAAAAUAUCAGAGCUCUAAUUACACCGCCUUCGAACUUCCCAUUUGCUGCAUCAUCUAUCAAAGUUCCUGGAAAACGUGGUCCUGUCCCAGAUCCAGUCCAAUUUGAAUAAUCACGAGAUCCUUGAACCUUAAAGGCCUCCAUAGCAUGGAGACUGCCCUGUUGAAGGUUUAUAAUGACCUUUUAUUAGCUGCUGAUUCUGGUGCUCAGAAGUUUUUCUGUCAGCAUUGGUGACUGUACAUCCUCCUGGUCUCCUGUUCACUGUGGGGUGCCCCAGGGCUCUGUACUUGGCCCUUUGCUGUUUUCUUUAUACACACUCCCACUAGGAACCAUUUUAAGAAAAAAUGAUAUUUCAUUCCAUUUUUAUGACAAUGUGGUGCAAAUCUACCUGCCCCUAAAACAGACACAUACCAGCUUUUUAAAUCCAAAGAAUGGAUGGCUUUGAACUUUUUUCAGGAAAGCAAAACAGAGGUUUUAAUUUUUAAGCCCAGUGCCACCAGCUAUUGCCCUAAAUUGGACUUUGGUUCCGUAGAAUCCUACUCUAAGUCCUCAGUACGGAACCUGGGUGUAAUCAUGGAUGGUGAUUUUAAAAUGGACCAGCAAAUAAAUUGUGUAGUCAAGUCA